rnacentral:miRNA from 4 species
UCAUUUUUGUGAUUUGCAGCU